GUGCCAGCAGCCGCGGUAAUACAGAGGGUGCGAGCGUUGUCCGGAAUCACUGGGCGUAAAGGGCGCGUAGGUGGCGGCAUAAGGCUGUGGUGAAAGUCUGGGGCUCAACUCCAGAUCGGCCGCGGCGACUGUGUCGCUUGGGCACCGUAGAGGCAGAUGGAAUUCCGGGUGUAGCGGUGGAAUGCGUAGAGAUCCGGAAGAACACCAGUGGCGAAGGCGGUCUGCUGGGCGGUGGAGUCGCGAGACUCCAAUAGCCGACACUGAGGCGCGACAGCGUGGGGAGCAAACAGGAUUAGAUACCCUCGUAGUCC
rnacentral:rRNA from 1 species